AACGAACGCUGGCGGCGUGCCUAAUACAUGCAAGUCGAGCGAAUGGAUUAAGAGCUUGCUCUUAUGAAGUUAGCGGCGGACGGGUGAGUAACACGUGGGUAACCUGCCCAUAAGACUGGGAUAACUCCGGGAAACCGGGGCUAAUACCGGAUAACAUUUUGAACCGCAUGGUUCGAAAUUGAAAGGCGGCUUCGGCUGUCACUUAUGGAUGGACCCGCGUCGCAUUAGCUAGUUGGUGAGGUAACGGCUCACCAAGGCAACGAUGCGUAGCCGACCUGAGAGGUGGAUCGGCCAAACUGGGACUGAGACACGGCCCAGACUCCUACGGGAGGCAGCAGUAGGGAAUCUUCCGCAAUGGACGAAAGUCUGACGGAGCAACGCCGCGUGAGUGAUGAAGGCUUUCGGGUCGUAAAACUCUGUUGUUAGGGAAGAACAAGUGCUAGUUGAAUAAGCUGGCACCUUGACGGUACCUAACAGAAAGCCACGGCUAACUACGUGCCAGCCGCCGCGGUAA
rnacentral:rRNA from 1 species